UACGUAGGGUGCGAGCGUAAUCGGAAUUACUGGGCGUAAAGCGUGCGCAGGCGGCUUCGCAAGUCAGACGUGAAAUCCCCGGGCUUAACCUGGGAAUGGCGUUUGAAACUACGGCUGGAGUGUGGGCAGAGGGAGGUAGAAUUCCACGUGUAGGCGGUGAAAUGCGUAGAUAUGUGGAGGAAUACCGAUGGCGAAGGCAGCCGUCCCUGGGCCAA
rnacentral:rRNA from 1 species